UACGGGGGGGGCAAGCAUUGUUCGGAAUUACUGGGCGUAAAGGGCUCGUAGGCGGCCAACUAAGUCAGACGUGAAAUCCCUCGGCUUAACCGGGGAACUGCGUCUGAUACUGGAUGGCUAGAGGUUGGGAGAGGGAUGCGGAAUUCCAGGUGUAGCGGUGAAAUGCGUAGAUAUCUGGAGGAACACCGGUGGCGAAGGCGGCAUCCUGGACCAAUUCUGACGCUGAGGAGCGAAAGCCAGGGGAGCAAACGGG
rnacentral:rRNA from 1 species